rnacentral:tRNA from 1 species
GCCUUUUUAGCUCAGUUGGUUAGAGCGGCUCAUUCGUAAUGAGCAGGUCGCGGGUUCGAGUCCCGUGAAAGGCU